AAAAAGAUAAGCUAAAGUUAAAGCUGAUGGGGUCAUAUCUCAUAUAUGAAUAUGUUUCUCUUUUUA
rnacentral:tRNA from 1 species